GACGAACGCUGGCGGCGUGCUUAACACAUGCCAGUCGAACGGAAAGGCCCUGCUUUUGUGGGGUGCUCGAGUGGCGAACGGGUGAGUAACACGUGAGUAACCUGCCCUUGACUUUGGGAUAACUUCAGGAAACUGGGGCUAAUACCGGAUAGGAGCUCCUGCUGCAUGGUGGGGGUUGGAAAGUUUCGGCGGUUGGGGAUGGACUCGCGGCUUAUCAGCUUGUUGGUGGGGUAGUGGCUUACCAAGGCUUUGACGGGUAGCCGGCCUGAGAGGGUGACCGGCCACAUUGGGACUGAGAUACGGCCCAGACUCCUACGGGAGGCAGCAGUGGGGAAUAUUGAACAAUGGGCGGAAGCCUGGUGCAGCAACGCCGCGUGCGGGAUGACGGCCUUCGGGUUGUAAACCGCUUUCGCCUGUGACGAAGCGUGAGUGACGGUAAUGGGUAAAGAAGCACCGGCUAACUACGUG
rnacentral:rRNA from 1 species